AACCAUCCAAACAAGCUGUUAAUCAAACUCCUAAUCAUAUCCCUGUUUGGCACUUCCACACUUACCACUCUCACUUCCCAAUUUUUCUUUCUCAUCAUCAUGAUACCUUUCUUCAUUCCCCAAAUCACCUGAUCUUUCCAUUUUUUCACUGUUUUUUUUCUUUCUCCAUUGUAUGCUCAUUUCUCUGAUCCAGAUCAGUUCUUUAUAUACAAUUUCACCUUCUUUUUUCUCUCUGUCUCUAGUUUUGCAUGCACCCUUUUGUUUCUCAAGGCUAUACUGCAAGUUUCAAGAUUUGCAAACACCCUUUUAUGCAGAUCUGGGCAGCAUUUUUUUGAGCUGAAAAAACAGUGAAUUCAAGAAAAAACCUGAUUCAAAGGACUAGAUCCCAGUUUGGUAAUAAAGAUCCCUUUUUUUUACCCUUUUAUUAUACUGUUGAUUAAAGGGACAUGUAAUUGUUAUAUUACAACAAGCAGUUUUUGUUUUUUUUUGCUUUUCUUGAAUUGCUGUUGAGUUUAUUUUUGUAAAAAAACAAUUGGGGUUGGUUAAAGAUUGCUUCUUUAGAAAUGUUGUGAAAUUUACUUUUGUAAACAACACUUGGGGUUAGUGAAAGAUUGCUUCUUUGGAAUUGUUGUGGAAUUUUUUUGUGUAAAGAACAAUUGGGGUUGGUUAAAAAUUGCUUCUUUGGAAUUGUUGUGGAAUUUUUUUGUGUAAAGAACAAUUGGGGUUGGUUAAAGAUUACUUCUUUGGAAUUUUUGUGGAGUUUAUUUUUGUAAAGAACAAUUGUUGUUGGUGAAAGAUGGAAAUUUCAAGUGGACUGAGUCCAAGAGUGAACUCAGUUACAUCAGUUGAAGGUAAAAAAGAUAAGCCAAAUCAUCAAAACUUCGAAUUGGAAUCAAUCGAUACGGUUACACAAACGGAUCACCAUUUUCUUACUUUGAAUGCAUUGGAGAUUUUAAGGGAAACUGUGAGAAUUUUAAGGUAUAAUUCAAUAGGUUUCAUGGCAAUUGCUGCAUUGCUAAUUUGUCCUGUAUCUGCUGUUGUUUUAUCGAAUGUAUUAGUGUAUCAACCGUUUGUUUUGAGAUUGAGCAUAAGGUUAUUACUUGUAGCCAAAACUAGUGGACUUCCUCUUAAGCCAUUUAUCAAACUGUCUUGUCAUAAGUUCUCCGAAGUCGUGAUUUCAGCUAUAAUGUGCUUCCCUAUGUACGUGACUUUAUCGCUGUUGUCGAAAGCUGCGAUAGUUUAUUCGGUUGAUUGCACUUACUCGAGGAAAAAGUUUGAUUAUCACAAGUUUUACGUGAUUAUGACCAAGAUUUGGAAACGGGUCGCUGUGACUUACUUAUGGGUUUGUGUGGUUAUUGCCGGUUGCCUCACGUUGUUUAUCGUACUUCUUGUUUCCGUGAGCAGUGUUUUUUCGAUCAUGGGGUUCCCUCCAGACUUGAUUUUGUACCCCGCGAUGGUAGUAGGGAUGAUUUUCUCGAUAAUUUUAGCAAAUGCUAUUAUUAUAUGCAACAUCGCGAUUGUGAUAUCAGUUUUAGAGGAUGACUCAGGCCCGCAGGCGUUGCUUAAGUCGAGUUCGCUUAUCAAGGGGCAGACGCAAGUUGGACUUCUGAUAUUUCUUGGUUCAACUAUUGGAAUGGCAAUCGUGCAGGGUUUAUUUGAGCAUAGAGUGAAGACAAUAAGUUAUGGAGAUGGAUCUUCAAGAUUAUGGGAAGGGCCGCUUUUGGUGUUAUUGUAUUCGUUCGUGAUACUUAUCGACUCCAUGAUGAGUACGGUUUUCUACUUCAGCUGUAAAUCGUAUAGAAUGGAAACCUCAAGUGAAGAAAGUCAACCUGUGCUAGAAGCCUUGACAAUUUCUUCCGCAUUAGAAGAAGUCCAAUAACAUGUUUGAAACUUGAAUUUAAGGCUCUGGAAGUUAUUUUGACGAGGAGGAAUUACAACGUGAAGCCUGGAUUCGCAUUCAAUUUGUGCAUCUCUUGAAGAGAAAAAAAGGGAUGAGUUGAAUUCCUCUUGGAGAAAGUUAUCAGAAGCUGGAGGCGGAUAAGUUAUGUUGUCUGCUAACAUACUACCAAAAGAAAAUCAUUUGAAAGAUGGACCAAUUUUUGGAAAAGCUCAAAUGAGGGAGCUAAAAGAAGAUGAUACAUUGUAUUAUCAGAAGUUGGUAUAUGUCUGGGGUCUCUUUUGUAAAUUUGGUAAGUUGCAAUAGUUUUGUUCAUGCAGGGAAGACAACUGCAUAACCUUGACUGAUAUUUUUUUGAAAUAUUACAAAUCAAAGUUCUAGAAAACUUAGAAUAGCAAAACCAUAUUCUGGGUCAUAUAACACAAACAUCUGGUAACCAGCGAUGAUGAAAAAAUCAUCAGGUGCUGCAUUGAGUGGAGAGAAUGGUAUGUUCUUUAUCAAGUGAAUAUUUACAGCACUUGUCUCACCCAAAAUACAAAAAAUUGAACUCAAUAUCCAUUGGAAUAGGCCAGGUUGAAGAUGGUAUCAUUAGUAUACUGACUCUUAUCAUCAUGGUCAGCACCAAAACGAAGGCUACUCCACUUCAUUGACCUUUGCACAAUCCUUUUAGGUACUUGAUAAGACUAUCUUACUCACCAGAUGCUUCAUAUCCAUCACUAGUGGACCUGGGGGGUUUUCUUCUGAAGAGUCAUGCUAGAAGGAUAUUCAUGAUAUUCGGAAAGAUUUAUGUUCAUUCGCUCUACGAGCAGAGCAGUAUACCCAAUAUGGACCGAUUAACACACGGUCCCCGCCUACUGCUCAUCUCUCUUCCUCGCAUUCCAUUCAUGACCGGCCGCUCAGUGCCGCUAUUGGUGAGUUUUAAGGAGUCUUAGUCGUAGGCGCUGCCUUCUCACUCGGACAAUGCUCUAAACACAAAAGUGCAAUUCCGCCCCCUGCACUGGGUUAGUGAUAUUGAUUCUGUUGUAUUUUGGUCGGUUGGCUGAAGCGGUAGUUUUGUUCUCCGUUUUCUCGAGCUUGCUUGUGUUACCUAGCUUUUUCAGCUAUGGUGAUACAUUCAGAAUGGGUGAACAUCACGGGUGUCUAAAUGCUCUCUGAAGCAACAACACCACCUGAGGAAGAAACUCGGCUUGUCCUGAAAUCACCCCAUACUUCAACUUCAAGAGGAGCCAAACUUGUUCACAUCUCAGGAACAUGGAAUUUUACUGCUUUCGAACUAUAGCACUGGGAAUUCUAUUCAAGGAUUCAAAGGGUAGCUCUGAGGGCAGAUUAAUGCGCUUACUUAUUCUCUUUCAACUGUUAUCAAGCUUUGAAACCAUACGACGCCCACUACUUCUUAAACUGCUAGUUGUUUCAAAGAGCAUAAGGUUCUUGGCCUUCUCACAACUGGCUGGAUAAUUUUUGAACUCUUCCUUGCUUCAGCAGCAGCCUUUGACAUAUUCUCUGCAUUCAGUCGUGCUAAUCUACAUUGGCUGAUCUUCACAGCAACAGGGUUCUUUUUCUUGAUUGGUUCAUCCACAACUGUAUUUAUACCUGCUGAACUGACUGAUACACUGUACUACAUCAAGCUACAGGGAAUCUUUGUUGACAAUUCUCAAGGUUCCAUGUCUUAGACAACCUUGGACUAGAGUUAAAUCUAUCCAGCUCAAGCAUUGAACAUUUUUGUUUUUGAAUGUCAGCUUUAAAGAACUCCUAUUUUAGAAGCAGGAAAAAAGCAUUGGCCAAACUGUCAUUUUGAAGCUAGAACCAGGGAUGUAGGAGGAACACUAAAAAACUGAGAAGCUUCAUUGAAACAUGAAUUGUCAAUUAGUGACAAACUCAAUCAAGAGCUUGCUAACAACACAACCAACACUACCUUGUGUAGUCGCCACUCUCUGUCAUUUUGCAUUGUCACUGAUGUCUUGUUAUAUCCGGACAAUCUGCCAGACCGUUCCUUAUUGACCUGCCUU